rnacentral:rRNA from 1 species
UAGGGAAUCUUCCACAAUGGACGCAAGUCUGAUGGAGCAACGCCGCGUGAGUGAAGAAGGCUUUCGGGUCGUAAAACUCUGUUGUUGGAGAAGAAUGGUCGGCAGAGUAACUGUUGUCGGCGUGACGGUAUCCAACCAGAAAGCCACGGCUAACUACGUGCCAGCAGCCGCGGUAAUACGUAGGUGGCAAGCGUUAUCCGGAUUUAUUGGGCGUAAAGCGAACGCAGGCGGUUUUUAAGUCUGAUGUGAAAGCCCUCGGCUUAACCGAGGAAGCGCAUCGGAAACUGGGAAACUUGAGUGCAGAAGAGGACAGUGGAACUCCAUGUGUAGCGGUGAAAUGCGUAGAUAUAUGGAAGAACACCAGUGGCGAAGGCGGCUGUCUGGUCUGUAACUGACGCUGAGGCUCGAAAGCAUGGGUAGCGAACAGGAUUAGAUACCCUGGUAGUCCAUGCCGUAAACGAUGAAUGCUAGGUGUUGGAGGGUUUCCGCCCUUCAGUGCCGCAGCUAACGCAUUAAGCAUUCCGCCUGGGGAGUACGACCGCAAGGGUUGAAAC